rnacentral:rRNA from 1 species
GGCAACGGGUGAGUAACGCGUGAGUAACCUGCCCUGGAUGGGGGACAACAGUUGGAAACGACUGCUAAUACCGCAUAAGCCCAGGCCCGGCAUCGGGCUGCGGGAAAAGGAUUUAUUCGCUUCAGGAUGGACUCGCGUCCAAUUAGCUAGUUGGUGAGGUAACGGCCCACCAAGGCGACGAUUGGUAGCCGGACUGAGAGGUUGAACGGCCACAUUGGGACUGAGACACGGCCCAG